rnacentral:snRNA from 1 species
GCACAUCAGAAGAGUGUGUUUCUUUUAAAAUUGGAACGAUACAGAGAAGAUUAGCAUGGUGCCUGUGCAAGGAUGACAAAACAAAAAACAAAAAACAUUUCC